ACAUAGAUGGCCGAUAGCAGAAAAAAAAAGCAACGUAGUUGGGAUUGUCUUUUGUCGUGGCUCAUCCGGCCUUGCCCGUGAGGGUGUGCGCCCUGGGUGUGCCCGCGGCUUUCUUCCGGUAGCCUUCCGCGCAUUCGCUGCGUGCGUAGGUGUUCCGGAACUUUUACUUUGAGAAAAAGUAGAGUGUUCUCAAGCAGGCUUGUUCGCCCNGAAAUACUGCAGCAUGGCAAUAAUAAGAUAGGACCUUGGAUUCUAUUUUGUUGGUUUCUAGGACCGAGGGUAAAUUGAUUAAUAGGGACAGGUUGGGGGGCAGUUCGAUAGUCGAACGUGAUCAGAAGGUUGCAAAUCCCUUAAGAAGUCCGGUUCAACAGACCAAACCUACUGGCACAAAGCAGUUCGCCAAGGGAAUGUUUUUCAGUAACUUCACGAACGACAGUAGGGGGGUUUGAAGGACGAUACGAUACCGUGUAUCUUCUACCUAACUAUNCNACUAGACAUNGGAACCCUNCNGGACUCUAAACAGAA
rnacentral:rRNA from 1 species